rnacentral:rRNA from 1 species
AUACGUAGGGUGCGAGCGUUGUCCGGAAUUACUGGGCGUAAAGAGCUCGUAGGUGGUUUGUCGCGUCGUCUGUGAAAUUCCGGGGCUUAACUCCGGGCGUGCAGGCGAUACGGGCAUAACUUGAGUACUGUAGGGGAGACUGGAAUUCCUGGUGUAGCGGUGAAAUGCGCAGAUAUCAGGAGGAACACCGGUGGCGAAGGCGGGUCUCUGGGCAGUAACUGACGCUGAGGAGCGAAAGCAUGGGUAGCGAACAGGAUUAGAUACCCUGGUAGUCCAUGCCGUAAACGGUGGGCGCUAGGUGUAGGGGUCUUUCACGACUUCUGUGCCGUAGCUAACGCAUUAAGCGCCCCGCCUGGGGAGUACGGCCGCAAGGCUAAAACUCAAAUGAAUUGACGGGG